rnacentral:rRNA from 1 species
AACGAACGCUGGCGGCAUGCCUAACACAUGCAAGUCGAACGAGACCUUCGGGUCUAGUGGCGCACGGGUGCGUAACGCGUGGGAACCUGCCCUUAGGUUCGGAAUAACUCCCCGAAAGGGGUGCUAAUACCGGAUAAUGUCUUCGGACCAAAGAUUUAUCGCCUUUGGAUGGGCCCGCGUUGGAUUAGCUAGUUGGUAGGGUAAAAGCCUACCAAGGCGACGAUCCAUAGCUGGUCUGAGAGGAUGAUCAGCCACACUGGGACUGAGCCACGGCCCAGACUCCUGCGGGAGGCAGCAGUGGGGAAUAUUGGACAAUGGGCUAAAGCCUGAUCCAGCAAUGCCGCGUGAGUGAUGAAGGCCUUAGGGUUGUAAAGCUCUUUUACCCGGGAUGAUAAUGACAGUACCGGGAGAAUAAGCUCCGGCUAACUCCGUG